AAAUGGCUGAGGAUAAGCGAUAAAUUGUAAAUUUAUUAACGGGAAAUAAUUUCUCUUUUAUUA
rnacentral:tRNA from 1 species